rnacentral:lncRNA from 1 species
CUGGUGCUAGCAGCAUGGCUGCUGUGGUUAGCAUUGGGGAACAGAUUGCUGGAAGACAAGAGCAGGGGCAGCACAUGUACUCCAAAGCCCACCCCACUCCUACAAAGAGGAAGAGCACAGGGAGUAGGGGAAAAGAGAGAACAUAACAGCCCCAUGCACCCUUGGCUGCUCCAAGCAUUCUGGGAGUUCAAGCAUGACCAGGCAGCACAGGGGAGAGGCAAGGGCUCCAUUGCUAACUGUUUGCUAUUCACUUUGAUUGUCCCCCACUAUCACAGGCUCCUUAGAGGAGGGCCCAAUUUUUCAGCAGCCCUGGGGUGGCUGGGUAGGAGAGUGAUGGAGAAAGGGUGCUCUAUAGCCUCGAUGUCUCAGAAACACCAGCUCUAUAGCCUCGAUGUCUCAGGCAACACAGAGAUGAUUCCCAUGAGAAAGAGGCA